AGGAAUGUUUUAAAGAAAAUUAUAUUACCUCUGGAAACUGAAUCCCCAGGGUGAAAUUACAUAUUACAGUGGCCAUGACUUGAAGACUAUUUCUUUUCCAUGGAUUUUAAAGAGGUUCUACGGAUUUUCCAGAGAAAAGCUGCUAACCAAAGCCAGCUAAGUUUUCCCUUGAAGGACACGGAUACAGCCCUCCAAUCAAGAAUAGGCAGCAAGCAG